UACGGGGGGGCAAGCGUUGUUCGGAAUUACUGGCGUAAAGGGCUCGUAGGCGGCCAACUAAGUCAUACGUGAAAUCCCUCGGCUUAACCUGGAACUGCAUUCGAGACUGCAUUGCUAGAGUAUGGGAGAGGAAGUGGAAUUCCGGUGUAGCGGUGAAAUGCGUAGAUAUCAGGAGGAACACCGGUGGCGAAGGCGGUUCUCUGGGCCACUACUGACGCUGAGAAGCGAAAGCAUGGGGAGCGAACAGG
rnacentral:rRNA from 1 species